rnacentral:rRNA from 1 species
CUGGAAAGCUUGGCGAUACAGGGUGAUAGCCCCGUAACCGACGCUUCAUCGAGCGUGAAAUCGAGUAGGGCGGGACACGUGAUAUCCUGUCUGAAUAUGGGGGGACCAUCCUCCAAGGCUAAAUACUCCUGACUGACCGAUAGUGAACCAGUACCGUGAGGGAAAGGCGAAAAGAACCCCUGUGAGGGGAGUGAAAUAGAACCUGAAACCGUGUACGUACAAGCAGUAGGAGCACCUUCGUGGUGUGACUGCGUACCUUUUGUAUAAUGGGUCAGCGACUUAUAUUCAGUGGCAAGGUUAACCGUAUAGGGGAGCCGUAGCGAAAGCGAGUCUUAACUGGGCGCUCAGUCUCUGGAUAUAGACCCGAAACCGGGUGAUCUAGCCAUGGGCAGGUUGAAGGUUGAGUAACAUCAACUGGAGGACCGAACCGACUAAUGUUGAAAAAUUAGCGGAUGACUUGUGGCUAGGGGUGAAAGGCCAAUCAAACUCGGAGAUAGCUGGUUCUCCCCGAAAGCUAUUUAGGUAGCGCCUCGGACGAAUACUACUGGGGGUAGAGCACUGUUAAGGCUAGGGGGUCAUCCCGACUUACCAACCCUUUGCAAACUCCGAAUACCAGUAAGUACUAUCCGGGAGACACACGGCGGGUGCUAACGUCCGUCGUGGAGAGGGAAACAACCCAGACCGCCAGCUAAGGUCCCAAAGUAUUGCUAAGUGGGAAACGAUGUGGGAAGGCUCAGACAGCUAGGAUGUUGGCUUAGAAGCAGCCAUCAUUUAAAGAAAGCGUAAUAGCUCACUAGUCGAGUCGGCCUGCGCGGAAGAUGUAACGGGGCUAAGCAAUACACCGAAGCUGCGGCAAUAUCUUUUAGAUAUUGGGUAGGGGAGCGUUCUGUAAGCCGUUGAAGGUGAAUCGUAAGGUUUGCUGGAGGUAUCAGAAGUGCGAAUGCUGACAUGAGUAACGACAAAGGGGGUGAAAAACCUCCUCGCCGGAAGACCAAGGGUUCCUGUCCAACGUUAAUCGGGGCAGGGUGAGUCGACCCCUAAGGUGAGGCCGAAAGGCGUAAUCGAUGGGAAACGGGUUAAUAUUCCCGUACUUCUGACUAUUGCGAUGGGGGGACGGAGAAGGCUAGGUGGGCCAGGCGACGGUUGUCCUGGUUCAAGUGCGUAGGCUUGAGAGUUAGGUAAAUCCGGCUCUCUUUAAGGCUGAGACACGACGUCGAGCUGCUACGGCAGUGAAGUCAUUGAUGCCAUGCUUCCAGGAAAAGCCUCUAAGCUUCAGAUAGUCAGGAAUCGUACCCCAAACCGACACAGGUGGUCGGGUAGAGAAUACCAAGGCGCUUGAGAGAACUCGGGUGAAGGAACUAGGCAAAAUGGUACCGUAACUUCGGGAGAAGGUACGCUCUUGAUGGUGAAGUCCCUCGCGGAUGGAGCUGACGAGAGUCGCAGAUACCAGGUGGCUGCAACUGUUUAUUAAAAACACAGCACUGUGCAAAAUCGCAAGAUGACGUAUACGGUGUGACGCCUGCCCGGUGCCGGAA